rnacentral:rRNA from 1 species
UAUGUGAUCGUCUCUCGCAUAUCAAUAAGCGGAGGAAAAGAAACUAACAAGGAUUCCCCUAGUAACGGCGAGUGAAGCGGGAAGAGCUCAAAUUUGAAAUCUUAAAGGGUUUCCCUUUACGAAUUGUAGUUUAAAGAAGUGUUUUCUGUUGAGGUUUUGGUAAAAGUUCUUUGGAAUAGGACAUCAUAGAGGGUGAGAAUCCCGUAUUUGACCUUUACUUUCAACUUUGUGAUACACUUUCAAAGAGUCGGAUUGUUUGGGAAUGCAGUCCAAAAUGGGUGGUAAAUUUCAUCUAAAGCUAAAUAUUGGCGAGAGACCGAUAGCGAACAAGUACCGUGAGGGAAAGAUGAAAAGAACUUUGAAAAGAGAGUUAAACAGUACGUGAAAUUGUCAAAAGGGAAGCGUUUGACACCAGUGUUGUUUUUCUGAAAAUCAAUUAAAGAACUGUUUAUGCUAAGUUGUUUAGACUUUAUCAGCUAUCUGUUUAGUUUUGAGCUUUUCUUUAAUGCACUUUUCAGUUAACAAGUCAACAUCAAUUUCUUUUGCUGUAAAAAAGCUUGAGGAAGGUGGCUUGAGAUUCGUCUUAAGUGUUUAUAGCCUCUUGCCUAUGCAGUCGGAGAGAUUGAGGUCCGCAGCGUAGAUCCUUCGGGGCUAAAUGCAUUUGUGCUAAGUUAUAGCAUUUUAUAGACAACUUGUUGACUAUGAUUUGUCUUGUAGCUUACUCGCUUAUGUUAUUUUACCUACGCUUAGGAUGUUGACUGAUAUGUAGUCGU